rnacentral:ncRNA from 1 species
GGUGAGGCCCGGUCACCGCGGCCUCCCGGACGAGGGGUGCUGUACCCGGCAGACGACAAGACGGCCCGUG